AUAUCUUAAUCCUUUUCGCUCCAAUAAUGUAAAAAAAGCAACCGCCAAUAAUGCAGAAAUACAUGCAACCACAUAAGAAAGUUAACACAAACAU